ACGGAGCUUGCUUCUCUUGAGAGCGGCGGACGGGUGAGUAAUGCCUAGGAAUCUGCCUAGUGGUGGGGGAUAACGUUCGGAAACGGACGCUAAUACCGCAUACGUCCUACGGGAGAAAGCGGGGGACCUUCGGGCCUCGCGCCAUUAGAUGAGCCUAGGUCGGAUUAGCUAGUUGGUGAGGUAAAGGCUCACCAAGGCGACGAUCCGUAACUGGUCUGAGAGGAUGAUCAGUCACACUGGAACUGAGACACGGUCCAGACUCCUACGGGAGGCAGCAGUGGGGAAUAUUGGACAAUGGGGGAAACCCUGAUCCAGCCAUGCCGCGUGUGUGAAGAAGGUCUUCGGAUUGUAAAGCACUUUAAGUUGGGAGGAAGGGUAGUAACUUAAUACGUUGCUACUUUGACGUUACCGACAGAAUAAGCACCGGCUAACUCUGUGCCAGCAGCCGCGGUAAUACAGAGGGUGCAAGCGUUAAUCGGAAUUACUGGGCGUAAAGCGCGCGUAGGUGGUUUGUUAAGUUGGAUGUGAAAGCCCCGGGCUCAACCUGGGAACUGCAUCCAAAACUGGCAAGCUAGAGUACGGUAGAGGGUGGUGGAAUUUCCUGUGUAGCGGUGAAAUGCGUAGAUAUAGGAAGGAACACCAGUGGCGAAGGCGACCACCUGGACUGAUACUGACACUGAGGUGCGAAAGCGUGGGGAGCAAACAGGAUUAGAUACCCUGGUAGUCCACGCCGUAAACGA
rnacentral:rRNA from 1 species